rnacentral:rRNA from 1 species
CAUUNAGGUAGUNGNNGGNNNAANUGGCCCACCAAGGAGANGAAGNGUAGCNGACNUGAGAGGGUGAUCGGCCACACUGGGANUGAGANACGGCCCAGACUCAUACGGGAGGCAGCAGUAGGGAAUCUUCCGCAAUNNGNNCAAGCCUGACGGAGCAACGCCGCGUGAGUGAUGAAGGUUUUCGGAUCGUAAAGCUCUGUUGCCAAGGNAAGAACGCCUCGGAGAGUAACUGCUCUGAGGGUGACGGUACUUGAGAAGAAAGCCCCGGCUAACUACGUGCCAGCAGCCGCGGUAAUACGUAGGGGGCAAGCGUUGUCCGGAAUUAUUGGGCGUAAAGCGCGCGCAGGCGGUCUUUUAAGUUUGGUGUUUAAGCCCGGGGCUCAACCCCGGUUCGCACUGNAAACUGGGACACUUGA